GACGAACGCUGGCGGCGUGCUUAACACAUGCAAGUCGAACGAUGAAACCUAGCUUGCUAGGUCGAUUAGUGGCGAACGGGUGAGUAACACGUGACUAACCUGCCCCUUUCUCUGGGAUAACGCUCCGAAAGGAGUGCUAAUACCGGAUACUCACACCAAGGCACAUGCCUUGGUGUGGAAAGUUUUUCGGAAAGGGAUGGAGUCGCGGCCUAUCAGCUUGGUGGUGAGGUAACGGCUCACCAAGGCGCCGACGGGUAGCCGGCCUGAGAGGGCGACCGGCCACACUGGGACUGAGACACGGCCCAGACUCCUACGGGAGGCAGCAGUGGGGAAUAUUGCACAAUGGGCGCAAGCCUGAUGCAGCGACGCCGCGUGAGGGAUGAAGGUCUUCGGAUUGUAAACCUCUUUCAGUAGGGACGAAGCGAAAGUGACGGUACCUAAAGAAGAAGCACCGGCUAACUACGUGCCAGCCGCCGCCGUAA
rnacentral:rRNA from 1 species